GAUGAAAAAGAUGUAUUCUUGUUAAAAGCCAUCUCUGAUCCUAAAGGAGAACUCUUGUUCUACAGAGAUUUUCAACAGUUCUCGUUUACACAGUUCUGAGAGAGAUCGCUCUUGAGCCGUUUGAUAUUUUCAAACUGAAUUUCUGGUCUUUUUUGAAAAGACGAUUAAGCAAGAUUUUCGUACUCGUUCAGACAGAUAUUCACUCAGUGAUAUUACUCGCAUAACAAGCGACGAUGAAAUAAAAUUUUCCAAUUCCAAAUCAGCUUUUAUAGCGGCCCAAAGUGACGUCAUCCACGAACAUUCCAUAGUGACGUGUCAGAGUUGCCCUGGCAACCAUUGAUUGCUACUGAGUAAACAGUAAAGCUCUCCCCGAAGCCAUUUUUGGGAUUUUAAAUUAAUAGGAAAGGCUCUUUGUAUUGUACGUUACACUUACAACGCAAACUUCAUGAACAGCCAGAUAUGCAGAAGAUGCUGGAAAACCAGAGAACGUGCAAGAGCUGGGGGAUUUUUCUGAAGAACAGAAGGCAGUUGAACUGCUCAGGACCAACGCAGGACUCAUGAACAACUUGGAUCAUCCAGGAAACGACACAAAGUAUUAAGAUCGAAGGUUUUAGCAACAGAACAGAAGACGGACGAAAGCGCGAAGAACGAAAUACAUUGAGGAGGAGAAGAUGAGGAUAGGAAACUGCCUGGUGUGUUCCUGGUCGUGUGGUGCAGAGGUUUGGGGUGGAUUUGAGGAUGGCGUGCUGGACUGGCUCUGCUGGGUGAAGUUCGUGGUCCACGAGGAGGAGAUGGAC